AACGAACGCUGGCGGCAUGCCUAACACAUGCAAGUCGAACGGGAUCCGGACUUCGGUCCGGUGAGAGUGGCGGACGGGUGAGUAACACGUGGGAACCUGCCUUUUGGUUCGGGAUAACCGCGGGAAACUGCGGCUAAUACCGGAUGCUCCCGAGAGGGAAAAGAUUUAUCGCCAGAAGAGGGGCCCGCGUCCGAUUAGGUAGUUGGUGGGGUAAUGGCCUACCAAGCCGACGAUCGGUAGCUGGUCUGAGAGGAUGAUCAGCCACACUGAGACUGAGAUACGGCCCAGACUCCUACGGGAGGCAGCAGUGGGGAAUAUUGGACAAUGGGGGGCAACCCUGAUCCAGCAAUGCCGCGUGAGUGAUGAAGGCCUUAGGGUUGUAAAGCUCUUUUGCCAGGGAAGAUGAUGACUGUACCUGGAGAAUAAGCCCCGGCUAACUUCGUGCCAGCAGCCGCGGUAAU
rnacentral:rRNA from 1 species